CAGUCGCCGCGGGAAUACGGAGGGUGCAAGCGUUAAUCGGAAUUACUGGGCGUAAAGCGCACGCAGGCGGUCUGUCAAGUCAGAUGUGAAAUCCCCGGGCUUAACCUGGGAACUGCAUUUGAAACUGGCAGGCUAGAGUCUUGUAGAGGGGGGUAGAAUUCCAGGUGUAGCGGUGAAAUGCGUAGAGAUCGGGAGGAACAUCAGUGGCGAAGGCGGCCAUCUGGGACAACACUUACGCUGAGGCACGAAAGCGUGGGGAGCAAACAGGAUUAGAUACCCCGGUAGUCCCUGUCUCUUAUAC
rnacentral:rRNA from 1 species